AGCCCUCCCGAUCUCCAUUUUCUCUGGCAGAGAGUUGCAGGAUGCCGUCGCAGCGGAAAACGGAGCUCGCGAGAACUGUGGGCUCCGUUUACACUGGCAGAGUGUUGCAGGAAGCCGUCACAGCCGAAAAUGGAGCUCGGGAGCCUGCGUUUGCUGACGGAGUGCUCAGUCCAUCCCUGACACGAGUGAGAUUUAACUCUCUUCACAGAUGCUCUGCAGUAGACCAUCCUGAGGAGGAGCGUUCUGUCCUGCGUUCUGUCCUAGGCUUCACC